rnacentral:rRNA from 1 species
ACAGCAGCAGCCGCGGUAAUACAGAGGGUGCAAGCGUUAAUCGGAAUUACUGGGCGUAAAGCGCGCGUAGGUGGUUUGUUAAGUUGGAUGUGAAAGCCCCGGGCUCAACCUGGGAACUGCAUCCAAAACUGGCAAGCUAGAGUACGGUAGAGGGUGGUGGAAUUUCCUGUGUAGCGGUGAAAUGCGUAGAUAUAGGAAGGAACACCAGUGGCGAAGGCGACCACCUGGACUGAUACUGACACUGAGGUGCGAAAGCGUGGGGAGCAAACAGGAUUAGAUACCCCCGUAGUCCCUGUCUCUUAUAC